GAUGUCAUCAAAGCCCUAGGAUAUUGGGGAGAGCCUGGGGAUGUACAGGAGAUGCCUGCUCCAGAAUCUCCUCCUGGAAGGGAUCCAGCUGCAAAUUUGAGUCUAGCUUUACCAGAUGAUGACAGAAGCGAUGAGAGCAGUCCACCAUCAGCCUCCCCUGCUGAAUCUGAGCCACAGUGUGAUCCCAGCUUUAAAGGAGAUGCAGGAGAAAAUACGGCAUUGCUAGGUGAGCGGUGUGCAAAUUAUAAAACAAUAGAAUGUGGCCAGGAGUGGUGGCUCACACCUGUAAUCUCAGUGCUUUGGGAGUUUAAGGUGGGAGGAUUGCUUGAGUUUGAGCUAUCGAAGAAUAAGUAACCAGAAAUUUGAGAACAGCCUGGGCAGCAUAGUGAGACCCCAUCUCUACAAAAACUUUACAGAUUAGCCAGGUAUGGUGGCAUUCUCCUGUAGUCCCAGCUACUCAGAAUGCUGAGGCAGGAGAGUGGCUUGUGACCAAGAGUUCAGGCUGCAGUGAGCUAUGAUCCUGUCACUGUACUCCAGCCUGAGCCUGGGUGACAGAGCAAGACCCUGUCUCUUUAAAAAAAAAAAAA
rnacentral:sRNA from 1 species